AUUUAGCCCUGAUUGAAGUGGAAAUCCUUUUUAUUGUUUUGAAAACAAGCAUCUCGACUGCGCUCGAUGUGACAAAACAAUAAAAAGAUUGAAACGGAAAGCAGGAAAAUGG
rnacentral:sRNA from 1 species